AAUGAACGCUGGCGGCGCGCCUAAUACAUGCAAGUCGAGCGAGAAGACGUAGCAAUACGUUUGUAAAGCGGCGAACGGGUGAGGAAUACAUGGGUAACCUACCCUCGAGUGGGGAAUAACUAGCCGAAAGGUUAGCUAAUACCGCGUACGCUUCUUGGACUUCGGUUCAGGGAGGAAAGCGAUGCCGAGGGUAUCGCGCUCUUGGAUGGGCUCAUGUCCUAUCAGCUUGUUGGUGAGGUAACGGCUCACCAAGGCUUCGACGGGUAGCUGGUCUGAGAGGACGAUCAGCCACACUGGCACUGCGACACGGGCCAGACUCCUACGGGAGGCAGCAGUAAGGAAUAUUGCGCAAUGGGCGAAAGCCUGACGCAGCGACGCCGCGUGGGGGAUGAAGGUC
rnacentral:rRNA from 1 species